GAGGGCAGCCAGGACUCCUGCCACCGUGGUUUGUUUUCCCAAAGUGCCUGUCCUGUAUGGGACUUCUUUGACUUGCCUGUCCACACCAGCUUCUGACAGAAGGCUUUGGUAGAUUUCCUUGUUUUGGAUAUCAAAGCAGGUCUCCACCAGCACGCAGCACUACAGCAGAGAGAGAUCCCUUUGGGUCUUCAAUAACCAUUGCAGACCUAUAACUUUGCAGUUGCGAUCUCAGUGAACCCAGUGUGACACUUCUUCCAGGACUUCAGCCAAGUGCAAUAGAAGAUUUCAAUUUAGAACUAGUGUUGUGGUAAGGGAAGUAGGAGAGAAGCAGAGAAGCCACACCCAGCCUCCCAAACACCUCCGUGCCUUGGGAUGGAGGACAGCCACCCAACACCACCACCGGGUUCCCAAUGUGGAGCAUGCUCUGAGGAUCCUUCUCAAGAGGUUUCGAUAGUUCAACAGUUCUGAAUUACUGAUCUCGCCACUCCAAGCACGACGAAGUCACUCCAGAAUCCACUGGUUGACAUAGUCCACCCCAGAAUCUCCAUUUGCCCAGAUAUUCACUGCCAACUCUUGGCUGGGGUAGUUGAUCCAUUUGUUUUGUCUUCUGUCAUCUU